CUGUGUAUGUAAAUAGCAACUUAUCAUGGUGUUAUCGAUGACAAGUUAUUACGAUUGCUCGCAGAAGAAGCGGAUUCCUGCGACCCGCUUAACAUCGCCUCCACAAUCUCCGAGGGGCCCAAUCUCUCGCCUAUGACGUGACAGUGGUCACAGAUGUUCGUUGCCUCGCUUCCGAUCUUCAUCAGGUACUCGCCGAACACGCCGUGUCCCGUGAACACCUGGGUUAUCCUGUGGGUAUGAUAUUACCUGGGCAGCGUCUACGGCUGUCUCGCUCGCAUAUGCUCCAACACGACGAAGAAUCCAUAGGCUGUUAUGCAACAAGGUACGCCAGAUCUUAUAGUAACGAGUAUCAAGUCCUUUCGCAUCAUCAUACCGCUUUUAGUUGGAGGCAAAAAUGACCAAGGUCCUUUAUA
rnacentral:misc_RNA from 1 species